rnacentral:misc_RNA from 1 species
GAUGAAGAACGUAGCGAAAUGCGAUAAGUAAUGUGAAUUGCAGAAUUCAGUGAAUCAUCGAAUCUUUGAACGCACAUUGCGCCCUCUGGUAUUGCGGGGGGCAUGCCUGUUCGAGCGUCAUUAUAACCACUCAAGCUCUCGCUUGGUAUUGGAGUUCGCGAUCUCGCGGCUCCUAAAAUCAGUGGCGGUGCCUGUCGGCUCUACGCGUAGUAAUACUCCUCGCGAUUGAGUCCGGUAGGUUUACUUGCCAGCAACCCCCAAUUUUUACAGGUUGACCUCGGAUCAGGUAGGGAUACCCGCUGAACUUAAGCAUAUCAAUAAGCGGAGGA